rnacentral:misc_RNA from 1 species
ACACCUCAACUCUCAUGGUUUGCCAUGAUGAGCUUGGACUUUGGGGGUUUUGCUGGCCUGCUGUCAGCUCCUCUCAAAUUGAUCAGCUUGCCAGUGUUUGGUGGCGUCGCAGGUGUGAUAAUUAUCUACGCUUGUGGUUGUCUGCCAGGUAACCUUCAGCGAUGGAGGUUCGCUGGGGCUCACAAAUGUCUCUCCUAAGUGAGGACGGCUUCUUGAAU